rnacentral:lncRNA from 10 species
AUAAUUUAAUGUGGUUUAUUUUAAAGAGAAUUAGAGUGAAGUACUUAAAAAUGGUGUUGGUGAUACUGUGUUGUAAGUAGCGUGUUGGGUGAGAGUAGUUCAUACAUUAGCUAUUAUACAAAUGAACAACUACAUUCCUUUUGCCACAUCUUCACAAACUGGGAAUUAGGGCAUGAAUAUCUUUGUGGGCCAUUAUUCUGCUUACUAUAAGAAAAAGCUGCAAGAUAAGCAUUUUUUUCAUACCCACCUUAUCCCCCCCAAAAUUAAUGUAAUUUAAAUAUGUUUUUAUAAUAAGCAUUACAUACAGGGAAAGUAUAUGGUGAAAAAUGAAGCCCAAAUAAACUUUUUUAUACUGAUUCGAACCCUCAUGACAUGACAAUUAUUUCAACAGUCCAGUGAUAUAAUAUGAAAUCCAACCCUUGUUUUGGUGCAUACUCCAACUUCAAUCAUCAUUCUGUUGGCGCCGUUUCCCUUCCCUAAAACAAACAGGUGUUUUCAAUUCUAAGUUUA